UACGAAGGUGGCUAGCGUUGUUCGGAAUUACUGGGCGUAAAGCGCGCGUAGGCGGCUUUUCAAGUCAGGGGUGAAAUGCCAAGGCUUAACCUUGGAACUGCCUUUGAAACUGUUAAGCUUGAGUGUCGGAGGGGAUGGCGGAAUUGCUAAUGUAGAGGUGAAAUUCGUAGAUAUUAGCAGGAACACCGGUGGCGAAGGCGGCCAUCUGGACGACAACUGACGCUGAGGCGCGAAAGCGUGGGGAUCAAACAGG
rnacentral:rRNA from 1 species